rnacentral:rRNA from 1 species
UACGGAGGGUGCAAGCGUUGUUCGGAUUUACUGGGCGUAAAGCGCGCGCAGGUGGGGUGUGCAAGUCGGAAGUGAAAUCUUGAGGCUCAACCUCGAGGCUGCUCCCGAAACUGCACGCCUAGGGACUGGUAGAGGGCUGGUAGAAUUCCCGGUGUAGCGGUGGAAUGCGUAGAGAUCGGGAAGAAUACCCGUGGCGAAGGCGGGCC